rnacentral:rRNA from 1 species
UACAGAGGGUGCUAGCGUUGUUCGGAAUUAUUGGGCGUAAAGGGCGCGUAGGCGGCCCUGUGUGUCGGGUGUGAAAGCCCACCUCUUAAAGGUGGAAUUGCAUUCGAAACUACAGGGCUGGAGUGUCGGAGAGGAUGGCGGAAUUCCUGGUGUAGAGGUGAAAUUCGUAGAUAUCAGGAGGAACACCGGUGGCGAAGGCGGCCAUCUGGACGGACAACUGACGCUGAGGCGCGAAAGCGUGGGGAUCAAACAGG